rnacentral:tRNA from 1 species
GGAGACGUGGCCGAGAGGCUGAAGGCAACGGUUUGCUAAAUCGUCAUACGGGUUAUACCGUAUCAAGGGUUCGAAUCCCUUCGUCUCCG